rnacentral:lncRNA from 1 species
UUCCUAGCCAUCCACUUAUUUUUGCUCAAUCCCCUCGUUAUGGUACUACAUAUAUGUUAAUACAUAGAAAAGAUAGUGAAAACAAAACUCUAUACAGUUGGUCUUUUGAACCCGCUUCAAGUUGUGAUUGAUGCCUAAUCAACCAAUCUUGGGAUAAACAGUCUCUACUACUUGCUUAUGUUUAUUUCCGCUUAACUCUUGUACAUAGGAAAUGAGACUCAAUCCUUUUACUGUAAAUUUAUAAGCUGUUUUAUUUCACUCAUAUAACUAUCUGAUUUAGUUUAUCAACCCGAAUGAUGAAUAAAAAAUGACGAUAUUUAUUCAAUUCAUUCAACUUCUUUCCU